UCCGGUGCUUCUAGCGACGAGGUCAUACCCGUUCCCAUCCCGAACACGGAAGUCAAGCUCGUCAGCGCUGAUGGUACUUGGGCAUAAGCCCCGGGAGAGUAAGUCAGUGCCGGGG
rnacentral:rRNA from 1 species